rnacentral:rRNA from 2 species
UGGGGAAUAUUGCACAAUGGGCGCAAGCCUGAUGCAGCAACGCCGCGUGAGGGAUGAAGGCCUUCGGGUUGUAAACCUCUUUUAGUAGGGAAGAAGCGAAAGUGACGGUACCUGCAGAAAAAGCACCGGCUAACUACGUGCCAGCAGCCGCGGUAAUACGUAGGGUGCAAGCGUUGUCCGGAAUUAUUGGGCGUAAAGAGCUCGUAGGCGGCUUGUCGCGUCUGCUGUGAAAACCCGAGGCUCAACCUCGGGCUUGCAGUGGGUACGGGCAGGCUAGAGUGCGGUAGGGGAGAUUGGAAUUCCUGGUGUAGCGGUGGAAUGCGCAGAUAUCAGGAGGAACACCGAUGGCGAAGGCAGAUCUCUGGGCCGCUACUGACGCUGAGGAGCGAAAGCAUGGGGAGCGAACAGG